UUCAUGAAUGCACUCAUGAAUCACAUCAGUUCUAUGAAACCCCGCACUCUGAAUCAUUUCGUGAUCACAAGAAAAACCUGAAUGGUUGUCUUGGUUGUAAGGAUGAUUCUGAAACCCUAGUUUCUGGUUCCAAAGAUUUGCAGAUGGGGGAGGUUGAGGAUAGUGGAGUCCAUGGGUUAAGAAAAGGGCUCAGUGAGUUCGGGUUACAAAGCAAGAGAAGAAAGCGCCCUCACUCUCCUGGAGAUAUUAAUGACCGCUCUCCAUGUGAGCUUGUUCGGAGCACUUUGCCAGAUCGUAGAGACUACCUGCAAGCGCUUGAUCUUGUGUUCCAGUUCCAUGGUUGAAGAAGGAGCCCUCUCCUGGGUUUGAUAUUUGAGGUUUUUUUCACACAGUAUCGGUUUUAUGGCCCUGACUGAGCUUGUGCAAGCAGCUGUCGUGACCUCUGUUUCUCUCCAUUAUUCUCAGUCCCAUUUGUUUUUCCCCAUCUAUAUAUUACUCAUGCAGAUGCUGCAGGUUCUUUUCAUAUGGCCUUGCCAAUUGGAUUAUAUGUUCAGAAUUCCCUUCUAAAUGGUUAUCAGUGUCAGUCAACCACUUGGUCACUUAAGAUACUAUAUUUUGUAAAGAUAACACAAAAUAUGUUAUCUUUCGAGCAGUCAUGUACUUCUUGUUUAUGUUUGUUCAUGGCCUUGUUAUUUAUUUUUGCAUUAAUAUACUCAUAGUUGCA